rnacentral:hammerhead_ribozyme from 1 species
AUCUAAAUGAAUAGUCCUAAAUAGGACGAAACGCAUGUCCUCGAU